CCCGCCCGCCGCCCCGCGCCGCCACCUGCGGGCCGCCCUCCAGGAUGCCCGCCGGCCACGUCCUAGUCGCCUGGAGCCGCGCCCCGCCUUCCUCGCCCGCGGCUGCCCCUGCACUUUUACCCACGCCGUGGGGCACAGAGAAGUAUCCGGGGUCAUAGAGGACAUUGGGAGGACUUGAAGAAGACUCAGACCAGAACCAAAGGUUGCCAGAUGACAGGCAUGUGGAUUCUGCCCCUGAGGAGUAGGGACCAGUUUUCCUCUCCUACUCUCAGCUUGGAGGAAGCAGAUGGCAGGCGGGGCCCCAGUGACAGCCCCAGUUCUGGGCCUGACUGAGCUGAUGAACUACUUGGAGCAGCUGCUGACCUGCUGCUGCUGGAAGCCAGUGGAACAGGAACCUGGGAGGGAAGCAGAAUGGAUACAAGAAAGGAAAACAGUAAUUGCCCUG
rnacentral:lncRNA from 1 species